GCCGCGGCGAUAGCUCAGUUGAUAAAGUGCCGGGUGAGAAGGUGGCGAUUACUCCAAGAGCUAUUAUACUCGCGGGUUCGAAUCCCACCUGUGGCA